CGAGUGAGCGGCAGAGCUCAAUUUGAAGCUGGCUCCUCGGGGUUGAGUUGUAUUUGGAAGGUGCUUUGGGUGCGGCCUCCUUCUAGUUGCUCGGGAAAGGGCCUCCUAAAAGGGGGAAAUCCCGUUUGGUUUGGGGAGCCCCCUGCCCGGGUGACUCUCCUUCACGAGUUUGUUGU
rnacentral:rRNA from 1 species